rnacentral:rRNA from 1 species
GAUUUCUGGUACGAUAUGCCUGGCCCGUCCUCGUCAGAGGCUCGAGUGCUGGUGUGUGUCUGCCAUCUUUCUAGAGAGCGGCACUUCCCUUCAUUGGAGAGGUGUCCGUCAUCUAGAUCUUUUACUUUGAAAAAAUUAGAGUGUUUAAAGCAGGCUUUUUGCUAUGAAUACAUUAGCAUGGAAUAAUAAUUUAGGACUUUGGCCCUAUUUUGUUGGUUUCUAGGACUGAAGUAAUGAUUGAUAGGGAUAGUUGGGGGUGCUCGAAUUCAGCGGCCAGAGGUGAAAUUCUUGGAUUCGCUGAAGACGAACUCAUGCGAAAGCAUU